rnacentral:rRNA from 1 species
GCUAAGGUCCCAAAGUCAUGGUUAAGUGGGAAACGAUGUGGGAAGGCACAGACAGCCAGGAUGUUGGCUUAGAAGCAGCCAUCAUUUAAAGAAAGCGUAAUAGCUCACUGGUCGAGUCGGCCUGCGCGGAAGAUGUAACGGGGCUAAACCAUGCACCGAAGCUGCGGCAGCGACACUAUGUGUUGUUGGGUAGGGGAGCGUUCUGUAAGCCUGCGAAGGUGACCUGUGAGGGUUGCUGGAGGUAUCAGAAGUGCGAAUGCUGACAUAAGUAACGAUAAAGCGGGUGAAAAGCCCGCUCGCCGGAAGACCAAGGGUUCCUGUCCAACGUUAAUCGGGGCAGGGUGAGUCGACCCCUAAGGCGAGGCCGAAAGGCGUAGUCGAUGGGAAACAGGUUAAUAUUCCUGUACUUGGUGUUACUGCGAAGGGGGGACGGAGAAGGCUAUGUUAGCCGGGCGACGGUUGUCCCGGUUUAAGCAUGUAGGCUGGUUAUCCAGGCAAAUCCGGAUAAUCAAGGCUGAGGUGUGAUGACGAGGCACUACGGUGCUGAAGUAACAAAUGCCCUGCUUCCAGGAAAAGCCUCUAAGCAUCAGGUAACAUCAAAUCGUACCCCAAACCGACACAGGUGGUCAGGUAGAGAAUACCAAGGCGCUUGAGAGAACUCGGGUGAAGGAACUAGGC